rnacentral:misc_RNA from 1 species
UGCUGGGAGUUCUUCAAAUUCAGAGGCUGUAUAUGAGCGUCCCACAAAAUCUUCCAAGUGAUCAAAAGCACCAAUCUUUCGACAAAGUGAUUCAGCUGUUGACUUAUUGUCCCCAGUAACAACUAUUACACGUAUACCAGCAGUCAUGCAUGAAAGCAUAGCAUUUCUCACUUCCUCUCUUGGUGGAUCAAGCAUUCCAACCAACCCAAUAAAUGUAAGGUCCUUCUCAUCGUCAAAGGAAAGGCUCUGUAGGCCCAUGGGCAUCUGUUUCAUGGCUAAAGCCAGACAUCUUAA